ensembl:lncRNA
CUUUGAUCUUUCUUCAGAGUGCUGUAGUUUUCAAGAUGAUCACCAGCUUUCUCAAUUUCCGGAUGCGCUUGAUUGUGGAUUUCAUCUUCUAAUGCCCACAGUGGCUCUCCUCAUUCCAACAUGGAGAGGACAUCUGGCCCGCUGGCUUGAAACACAAAGCUUCCAGAACCUGAGAAAGAAGAGGCCACUGAUGGGGCACCCUCUGAGUGACAGGGAGCAGCUGUUCUCACCCACUGACACCAGGCCAUUGUAGUUCUCCAGCAUCACAUCCUGGUACAAGUCCUUCUGAGCAGGGCCCAGGAGCUGCCACUCCUCCCAGCUAAAGCCAAAUUUGAAGAACUUGAUCUCUCCUGCUUACAGUGGUUAAAUUUUGGAAAUCUGGAAAUGAAGCUAUUGGAAUUUCAAGAAAGCUCCAUCUGAAAAAAUAAAUUCUAUGAACUGCAUGCAACACUUGAAAAGAGAGAGAAGAUAGAGUGUGAAGGGAUGACAAAGGAUAACACAGUUGAUUAAUUUUUGCCUUUAUAGAAGUUUUAUGUACAAGUCAUGCUGCCCUUAGCUGCAAUAUUGUGCUGCCAUCCAAGAUGUCACAGCAUCACAGAAUCAUUGAGACCUCUGCUGUGACCAGUGGUGUGAGUUCUUCCUUUCCCACACACCAACUUCUGGCUCUUCAGGCAAGCCACUGUGAGCUAAUAGGCAGACUCAGACUUUUAAUAUGAAAAGCCAAUUUAUGAAUUUGUAGCUCUCUCAGGGCAGUCUCGAUUACAAUUAAAGCAGUUGGGAUUGCUUUUCUUAUUUUGUUGGGAUCAUCUUAUGCUUGUGAACAUUUCUUUGAAUUAUAUAAAAUAUGAUACAAGAACAGACAGAUGACCUGAGUGCUACAUGUGUUGCUCUCAAAUUAAUGAAGUAUGAGCCAAGGUUUGACAAAUUAUCUGCAUGAAUACAACAGCAGUGAUUACAUUGAUAGUGC